CAGCAGCCGCGGGAAUACGUAGGUGGCAAGUGUUGUCCGGAAUUAUUGGGCGUAAAGCGCGCGCAGGCGGAUCAGUUAGUCUGUCUUAAAAGUUCGGGGCUUAACCCCGUGAGGGGAUGGAAACUGCUGAUCUAGAGUAUCGGAGAGGAAAGUGGAAUUCCUAGUGUAGCGGUGAAAUGCGUAGAUAUUAGGAAGAACACCAGUGGCGAAGGCGACUUUCUGGACGAAAACUGACGCUGAGGCGCGAAAGCCAGGGGAGCGAACGGGAUUAGAUACCCCCGUAGUCCCUGUCUCUUAUACA
rnacentral:rRNA from 1 species